CCUACGGGAGGCUGCAGUGGGGAAUAUUGCACAAUGGGGGAAACCCUGAUGCAGCGACGCCGCGUGAAGGAUGAAGUAUUUCGGUAUUUAAACUUCUAUCAGCAGGGAAGGAAAUGACGGUACCUGACUAAGAAGCCCCGGCUAACUACGUGCCAGCAGCCGCGGUAAUACGUAGGGGGCAAGCGUUAUCCGGAUUUACUGGGUGUAAAGGGAGCGUAGACGGUAUGGCAAGUCUGAUGUGAAAACCCGGGGCUCAACCCCGGGACUGCAUUGGAAACUGCCGAACUAGAGUGUAGGAGAGGUAAGUGGAAUUCCUAGUGUAGCGGUGAAAUGCGUAGAUAUUAGGAGGAACACCAGUGGCGAAGGCGGCUUGCUAGACGAUGACUGACAUUGAGGCUCGAAAGCGUGGGGAGCAAACAGGAUUAGAUACCCCAGUAGUC
rnacentral:rRNA from 1 species